AGUGUAAGACGUGUAAAAAAUUACAUUUCGGCAAAUGCCGAUUCAACAGGCCAACACUUAUAAAAAUAAAAAUAAAAAAUGCAAAAUAUGUAGUAACAGCCACAAAGGCUUGUGCUGGUGGAGACCAGAGAGCCAGAAAACAAAAACCAAGGACCUGAGAGCAGUCCUUGACUCGAAAAAAAAAAUAGUAAGUUUUUUUUUUUUAAUACUUAAAUAUCACUAUGC